AGAGUUUGAUCCUGGCUCAGAUUGAACGCUGGCGGCAGGCUUAACACAUGCAAGUCGAGCGGGGAAGGGUAGCUUGCUACCUGACCUAGCGGCGGACGGGUGAGUAAUGCUUAGGAAUCUGCCUAUUAGUGGGGGACAACAUCUCGAAAGGGAUGCUAAUACCGCAUACGUCCUACGGGAGAAAGCAGGGGACCUUCGGGCCUUGCGCUAAUAGAUGAGCCUAAGUCGGAUUAGCUAGUUGGUGGGGUAAAGGCCUACCAAGGCGACGAUCUGUAGCGGGUCUGAGAGGAUGAUCCGCCACACUGGGACUGAGACACGGCCCAGACUCCUACGGGAGGCAGCAGUGGGGAAUAUUGGACAAUGGGGGGAACCCUGAUCCAGCCAUGCCGCGUGUGUGAAGAAGGCCUUUUGGUUGUAAAGCACUUUAAGCGAGGAGGAGGCUACCGAGAUUAAUACUCUUGGAUAGUGGACGUUACUCGCAGAAUAAGCACCGGCUAACUCUGUGCCAGCAGCCGCGGUAAUACAGAGGGUGCAAGCGUUAAUCGGAUUUACUGGGCGUAAAGCGCGCGUAGGUGGCCAAUUAAGUCAAAUGUGAAAUCCCCGAGCUUAACUUGGGAGUUGCAUUCGAUACUGGUUGGCUAGAGUAUGGGAGAGGAUGGUAGAAUUCCAGGUGUAGCGGUGAAAUGCGUAGAGAUCUGGA
rnacentral:rRNA from 1 species